GUGAACCUGCCGAAGGAUCAUAAUGGAGUGCGGGUCCUUUGGGCCCAACCUCCCAUCCGUGUUAAGUCGUUCUAUUGUACCCUGUUGCUUCGGCGGGCUCGCCGCUUGUCGGCCGCCGGGGGGGCGCCUCUGCCCCCCGGGCGCUGCCCGCCGGAGACCCCAACACGGACACUGUCUGAAAGCGUGCAGUCUGAGUUGAUUGAAUGCAAUCAGUUAAAACUUUCAACAAUGGAUCUCUUGGUUCCGGCAUCAAUGAAGAACGCAGCGAAAUGCGAUAACUAAUGUGAUUUGCAGAAUUCAGUGAAUCAUCGAGUCUUUGAACGCACAUUGCGCCCCCUGGUAUUCCGGGGGGCAUGCCUGUCGGAGCGUCAUUGCUGCCCUCAAGCCCGGCUUGUGUGUUGGGUCGCCGUCCCCCUCUCCGCCAGGACGGGCCCGACAGGCAGCGGCGGCACCGCGUCCGAUCCUCGAGCGUAUGGGGCUUUGUCACAUGCUCUGUAGGAUUGGCCGGCGCCUGCCGUCGUUUUCCAACCAUACUGACCAGGUUGACCUCGGAUCAGGUAGGGAUACAAGCUGAACUUAAGCAUAUCAAUA
rnacentral:rRNA from 1 species